UGAUGGUGUAUGAAUGUUGUAAAGCCACACUGGUGUUUUGAUUCUUUCAUUUCACUGUCGAGUGAAGCCUCUGAUGCAGAGGAGCAGGUUAAGAACUGCCAGGCUGUGCUGUGACUUUCCUGGGCCCUGGGCACCUUUGCCUUCACAGACCUCUUAUUCCUCCAUUUAAAAAAAAAAGUCAUAGAGGUGUAUUCUACAACAAUGUUGGUAAACAGGUGAAUGUAUGAAUAUUACAUAUUAAAACAUUUUCUUUGACUUACAAGGUUUUUUUUUCUCCUUCAGAUUUUAGAUGGAAUUAAAACAUUUUUGUGGGUCUCGACAAGUAUUGCCAGCACUGCACCUGCCACCCUGAUAGCAAACUCCAGUGGAAGUAACAGCAGAUCUUGCAAAUAGAGAAACAUCU
rnacentral:lncRNA from 10 species